AGGGAGACAAAACAAUGAUUUUGAUGUCUGAGUAAUUUAUUCUUAGGCCGAAAUCCUGUCACCUUAGGUCGAUCGGUACCUCAACAUUUUUUCAAAGAUUGAUGAGCAAUCAUCAAGAGAUUGAGAAAGAUGUUCAGUUCCUAAACUUUGUCUAGGUCACACCCCGCAAGGGAAGAGUCCCCUGGGCCAUUAGCUCAGGUGGUUAGAGCGCACCCCUGAUAAGGGUGAGGUCCCUGGUUCAAGUCCAGGAUGGCCCAUUCGGUGUUGGGGGUUUAGCUCAGUUGGUAGGGCGCCUGCUUUGCAAGCAGGAUGUCAGGAGUUCGAGUCUCCUAACCUCCACUGACCGAACUCAAUCUCCAUUGUCCGGUUACCCGGAGGAUGAACUCGAGGGAAUGUGAUUUAGAUGUGUCCACUAGAUUGGACCCCAGCUUCCUGUCAUGCCAAAUGAGCAAAUUUUGCUUUAUUGGUUGAUAAGAUGCUGGGCUCAGAUUAAUCUAAAGAUUAAUUUGAUGUCUAGUAGAACCUUGACAACUGCAUAGGUAAGUCUGGAAAAACAAAGCAUCUUACAGAUGCAUUGUUUUAAGCCUAAAUUCUCGAAAGGGAAUUUAGAAUUAGAACAAUGAAAAUUCUUUUGAGCAAGAGCCGAGACUCUUAGAUGUUCUUUGAUUCGUGUCGAGCGAAUCAGAGUUUGAUUUUGUUUUUAUGAGCAACGAAAGUUGUUGAUGAAACCAGAAGAAUCUGCUUUCAACCGCAGUAAGCGUUUGAGAGGUUAAUU
rnacentral:tRNA from 1 species